UAGGAAGUACGUCGAAAGGAAACAUACAAGUUUGCAUAUUCUGCAGCUCAAAAUGUCGCUUCUCAGGGAUAAUCAUAUCGCUUGUGAACUGACUGCAGUGCGUGGUUUUGUCUCGGUGCAACCUUUCGAAAUACUUUGGGCUCAGGAAAAAGAUGCUCUUCCAAGUUGUUCAUUGCUCUUGAUCUUAUUGGCAGGAACAGAGAUGUUCUGCUUAUGUUGUCCGAUGAUGGAUGGGUGAUAAACUCUUUGCAUUCACGAUUAACACACAUCUCGUGGGCUUCAUCUACGCCCACAGAGUGACCUGGUCUUCCAAGCAAGCUGACAGUGAAACCGCCUUUCUCCAGAUUGGCCAAGACAUCCUUAGUCUUCUAGCAACUCCCUCAGUGUGCUAUCUUGGGUCUCGGAGGGGGGAGAUUUCUCACCCGGUCUGAGGCAGUCUGAAGAAAGUCUGUUGGAAUCACCUCGGAAAAGGGACAGAAUAAAUCGAUAUAGAGAUUCCCAAACAUCCAUCAGAAAAUGGUGAGUCCUCUUAAAGUUUGACGUUAUGGAAUUGGGGGUGUUGUAACCACUGGACCUACCAAGGUCUUCUUGGUAAUUUUUUAAUAGAUGCCAGUUACCUGAUGCCAGUUACCUGGAAAAGGAAUGCACCAUGAAAGGUCACUGCCAUACUCAGCCUUGAGUGAUUGCAAUCGCUCAUAUGUUGCCUGAUCCCCUUCUGUAGAACCAUAGUUUGCUUCUUGGUGACAAUAAACUCAGUAUAGAGAUCAUUGAUCACACUAAGUAGGGUUUGGUUGUCAUCGCAUCUCUGAUCUAGGACCUUGUAAUAAAUUACAUUUGAUCUCUCAACUAUUCCUAGAUUAUUACCCGAGGCGCGCGUGGGCGGUUACGGGUAUAGUAGUCGUUUGGUUCGUCUGUUUGUCUGUUUGUAAGUUCAGGAUCUGCUCACCUGGCUGCCACAGCACUGCGUUUACAGCAUGGAUAGCCUAGCCUUCACACAAUAAGUUAUUAGUUUUAAUAUUCUAUGUUAAAGCUUGUUGUAGAAUAAAAGCUAAGGAACUUGGAACUUUCACGUUACCUGGCUAGCUAGCUAGCUAACACUGUUACACGCGGCUCUUAUUCGAAACAGUUUUAAUGAUCAUCUACACAUGCGCAUGGUGAUAACCAAGCCCAUCCACGUGGUUUUAGUUCACUCUACCAAUGCAGAGCUACUCUCAUCUAUCUGGAUCUGGAAGACUACUGAACACUUGAAGAAAUGCCCUUCUCGAAACCUUGUCCCCAAUGUGGGGGUAAGGUUCACAUCAGGACACUGAGGUGUCCACAUUGUGACCAUGUUCUACAGUCCCUUACUGUUACUGUAGAUCAGAGAUUACGUAGAAAGCGCAAUGCAGCAUCUAC